UACGUAGGAUGCAAGCGUUGUCCGGAAUUAUUGGGCGUAAAGCGAACGUAGGCGGUUUCUUAGAAUUGGUCUUAAAGACCGGGGCUCAACCUCGGGAAUGGAUCGAUAACUGGGAGACUGGAGGACGUCAGAGGAAAGUGGAAUUCCGAGUGUAAGCGGUUGAAAUUCGUAGAUAUUCGCAAGAACACCAGUGGCGAAGGCGGCUCACUGGCCCGAUACUGACGCUGAGGCACGGAAAGCGUGGGGAGCAAACAGG
rnacentral:rRNA from 1 species